GUUACUUACCUCGACUCUUAGCUUGUCGGGAACAGUAACCGGGACCCGUGUCUACUCCUGAUUCCUGCGCUUGCAAACCCGCAGCCAUGCGUGAGUGCAUCUCCAUCCAUGUUGGCCAGGGUGGUGUCCAGAUCGGCAAUGCCUGCUGGGAGCUCUACUGCCUGGAACACGGCAUCCAGCCUGAUGGCCAGAUGCCAAGUGACAAGACCAUUGGCGGGGGAGAUGACUCCUUCAACACCUUCUUCAGUGAGACGGGCGCUGGCAAGCAUGUGCCCAGGGCAGUGUUUGUAGACCUGGAACCCACAGUCAUUGAUGAAGUUCGAAAUGGCACCUACCGCCAGCUCUUCCACCCUGAGCAGCUAAUCACAGGAAAGGAAGAUGCUGCCAAUAACUAUGCUCCUGGACACUACACCAUUGGCAAAGAGAUCAUUGACCUGGUCCUGGACUUCCAGACCAACCUGGUGCCCUAUCCCCGCAUCCACUUCCCUCUGGCCACAUAUGCCCCUGUCAUCUCUGCUGAGAAAGCCUACCAUGAACAGCUUUCUGUAGCAGAAAUCACCAAUGAGUGCUUUGAGCCAGGCAACUAGAUGGUGAAAUGUGACCCUUGCCAUGGUAAAUACAUGGCUUGUUGUCUGUUGUACCAUGGUGACGUGGUCCCCAAAGAUGUCAAUGCUGCCAUUGCCACCAUCAAGACCAGGUGUACUAUCCAGUUUGUGGACUGGUGCCCCACUGGCUUCAAAGUUGGCAUUAAUUACCAGCCUCCCACUGUGGUACCUGGUGGAGACCUGACCAAAGUACAGCAAUCUGUGUGCAUGCUGAGCAACACCAUAGCUAUUGCUGAGGCCUGGGCUCACCUGGACCACAGGUUUGACUUGAUGAUUGCCAAGUGUGCCUUUGUCCACUGGUAAGUAGGUGAGGGCAUGGAGGAAAGAGAGUUUUAUGAGGCCAGUGAGGACAUGGCUGCCCUUGAGAAGGAUUAUGAGGAAGUUGGUGUGGAUUCUGUUGAAGGAGAGGGUGAAGAAGAAGGAGAGGAAUACUGAUUCCUUUCAGCCCUGCAACAUGUCAUACUCAGAACUUCCAGGUCCAACAGCUGACAGGCAUUAAAGCUUUCUGGUUAGAUUUUCUUCGCUUUUA